AGACAUUUCACCAGCAAAAAAGUUACUGACUAACCAAAACAAACUCAAGAACGCAGAGCCAAAAAGUGAGAGAAGAAAGAAAAAGUUUAGUCCCUAAUAAUAAGGUAAUAACAAAGGGACUGUGUCCAUGUGAGGGUAAAAGAGACCGUCCAAGGAAGGAUAAAUCAAGACACUGGAAGACUGGGAAAGCAGAUUGAAGGGACUGGCAGGAGAGGGCUCUGCUACAUGUUUUAGUAAUGACUUGGGCAUGGCACGGUGGCUGAGUAAUGGAUCUGCGCUGAGAUUUGCCGAUACAGGCGCCGUGGUCGUUGCUGCAGGGGAACGUGUAGAAGAGCGAUGGCCGGUGCAAAUGGAAGACCUGAAAAGCCAUAAGUGCGUUUUCAGAAAUUUAAUGGGAGAGCUGACCUGUGCUACAUGGUGACACACGGACAUUUGACAACAUUACRGAAGGUCUGUGCCUCAGCUGUUCCCAUCGACUUCUACAGGACGUUCUGUCUAUCGGAUCUUUGGUAAAUCAGGCUCUAUGUACCCAAAAUGUCUAUGUUUCAGACAGGUAUUUUAUGAAAUAUUCAGACUGUACUGAACCAAACA
rnacentral:lncRNA from 1 species